rnacentral:rRNA from 1 species
AGUGAACGCUGGCGGUAGGCCUAACACAUGCAAGUCGAACGGCAGCACAGUAAGAGCUUGCUCUUACGGGUGGCGAGUGGCGGACGGGUGAGGAAUACAUCGGAAUCUACUUUUUCGUGGGGGAUAACGUAGGGAAACUUACGCUAAUACCGCAUACGACCUACGGGUGAAAGCAGUGGAUCUUCGGACCUUGCGCGAUUGAAUGAGCCGAUGUCGGAUUAGCUAGUUGGCGGGGUAAAGGCCCACCAAGGCGACGAUCCGUAGCUGGUCUGAGAGGAUGAUCGGCCACACUGGAACGGAGACAGGGUCCAGACUCCUACGGGAGGCAGCAGUGGGGAAUAUUGGACAAUGGGCGCAAGCCUGAUCCAGCCAUACCGCGUGGGUGACGAAGGCCUUCGGGUUGUAAAGCCCUUUUGUUGGGAAAGAAAAGCAGCAGGUUAAUACCCCGCUGUUCUGACGGUACCCAAAGAAUAAGCACCGGCUAACUUCGUG